GACGAACGCUGGCGGCGUGCUUAACACAUGCAAGUCGAACGGAAAGGCCCUGCUUUUGUGGGGUUCUCGAGUGGCGAACGGGUGAGUAACACGUGAGUAACCUGCCCUUGACUUUGUGAUAUCUUCACGAAACUGGGGCGCAUACCGGGUAUGAGCUCCUGCUCCGUGUUGUUGGUUGGUAAGAUUCGGCGUUUGGGGAUGGACUCGCGGCUUAUCAGCUUGUUGGUGGGGUAGUGGCUUACCAAGGCUUUGACGGGUAGCCGGCCUGAGAGGGUGACCGGCCACAUUGGGACUGAGAGACGGCCCAGACUCCUACGGGAGGCAGCAGUGGGGAAUAUUGCACAAUGGGCGGAAGCCUGAGGCAGCAGCGCCGCGUGCGGGAUGACGGCCUUCGGGUUGUAAACCGCUUUCGCCUGUGACGAAGCGGGAGUGACGGUAAUGGGUAAAGAAGCACCGGCUAACUACGUG
rnacentral:rRNA from 1 species